UUCUUUAGCUGUUGGACUAGGUUGUGUAAGCUGGAUACUUUCUGUUAUAAACAGGUUGCGAUAUUUGGUCUGGUAUAUGUUCUGGAAAGCAGAGGAAAACACCAGGUCAGAAGUUUGCUGUCAUUAGUGUGUAUCACAAAGCGCGUGCUUGUUUACAAGAGAGGAAGCCCAGACCGGUGGAACGCCUCUCCUCUAUCAGACUCCCAUCAACACUGAAACUAUGCUCAGAAGGAGUACUUGUUGCUGGUAUUGCUAGCAGCCUCUUGGCAACUGGCACAAGCCCACCUGACCUCUCCUGCCAGAAGUCGAGAAGAGACUGGAAGCGAGUCAACUUAGAGUCACUCAUGUAUUGUAGCACCAACUGGUGGCCCCAUGGCUCCGUAUUGCCCCUGUCCUCCUCCCUCUCUUCCUCUUCAACAUAACUGGCAAAGAAGUUGUGUACUUCCGUGGCACCUGCCUCUGGGGGUGGAUCUUCAGGAAAAAAGACAAAUUCUUGCAUUGCAUUGAUAAAUGCAUUAUAGUUCUUUACAGUCUAACAUACUUAUUCUAGGUAUUACCUAUAAUAUACAUUACCUAUAGAUAUAAUACAUACAUCUGUGAGUGUAUGUGUAGCUUUUAAAUAAAUAAAAAUAAGACAUGUUACUACAUUUAAAACUGAUCAGUGAGUGCUCCGUUGAUGCUAGUGUUAUUCACCCUCUUUCUCCACAUGGCCUCUCACUCUCUCCUCUGUCCCUGCUGUUUGUGUGAGUGCUGCCAGGGUGUUGAUGACCUCCUCAUACUCCUGACCGUAGAGAGUUUUCCUCAAGAAACUCCUCAAGCUAGGAGAGAGCGCUGUGGCUAUCUUAUGGUACAGGUGGAUUUUGAAUUUCAGCUCCACUGCCUGGGCUAACUUCCCUUUCAGCUAGGGGGAGGAGGAGUGAAAUCACAUCAUGAUACAACAAUAAAAUCAUGACAACGGUAUACUCAACAUCAUUACUGUGGGGGCAUA